AGGGCAUACGGUGGAUGCCUAGGCGCCAAGAGCCGAAGAAGGACGCGGUAAGCUGCGAAAAGCCACGGGGAACUGCAAGCAAGUAUUGAUCCGUGGAUAUCCGAAUGGGGAAACCCGGCCAUCGUCAUGGAUGGUCACCCGCAAGGGAGGGAACCUGGGGAACUGAAACAUCUAAGUACCCGGAGGAAGAGAAAUCAAACGAGAUGCCCACAGUAGCGGCGAGCGAAGAGGGCAGAGCCCAAACCGAGAAGCUCCGGCUUUUCGGGGUUGAGGACCGGCAGAAUCGAAGUCAGGCCUAGUUGAAUUACCUGGAAAGGUAAGCGAGAGAGGGUAAAAGCCCCGUAGACGAAAGGCAGAGCAGAGAGGCCGAGAUCCAGAGUACCACGAAGCACGAGGAAUUUUGUGGGAAGCAGGGGGGACCACCCUCCAAGGCUAAAAACUACUUGGCGACCGAUAGCGCAUAGUACCGUGAGGGAAAGGUGAAAAGAACCCCGGGAGGGGAGUGAAAUAGUACCUGAAACCGUAUGUCUACAAGCAGUCGAAGCGAAAGCGACGGCGUGCCUAUUGAAGAAUGAACCAACGAGUUAUCUGCACUAGCGAGGUUAAGUGGAAGACACGGAGCCGCAGCGAAAGCGAGUCUUAAGAGGGCGCUAGUUAGUGUAGGUAGACCCGAAACCGCAGUGAUCUACCCAUGUCCAGGUUGAAGCGCAGGUAAAAUUGCGUGGAGGACCGAACCGGUGAGCGUUGAAAAGCUUUCGGAUGAGAUGUGGGUAGGGGUGAAAUUCCAAUCGAACGCGGAGAUAGCUGGUUCUCCCCGAAAUAGCUUUAGGGCUAGCCUGAGGUAGUAAGUAUAGGCGGUAGAGCACUGAUCGGGCUAGGGGCCGUAAAGGUUACCGAACCCUGUCAAACUCCGAAUGGAUAUACUGUAGAGCCUUGGAGUCAGACUACGAGUGAUAAGAUCCGUGGUCAAAAGGGAAACAGCCCAGACCACCAGCUAAGGUCCCCAAUGUCGUACUAAGUGGAAAAGGAUGUGGGGUUUCAUAAACAACCAGGAUGUUGGCUCAGAAGCAGCCACCAUUUAAAGAGUGCGUAAUAGCUCACUGGUCGAGAGACCCUGCGCCGAAGAUUCCCGGGGCUAAAGUACGAAACCGAAGCUGUGGCUGUAUACGUAAAGUAUACGGGGUAGGGGAGCGUUCCCAUAGGGUAGAAGUCGAACUGGAAGGUUCGGUGGACUUGUGGGAAGUGAGAAUGUUGGUAUGAGUAGCGAAAAGAAAGGUGAGAAUCCUUUCCACCGAAAGCAUAAGGAUUCCUGAGCAACGAUCGUCGUCUCAGGGUAAGUCGGGACCUAAUCCGAGGCAGAGAGCGUAGGAGAUGGACAACUGGUUGAUAUUCCAGUACCGGUAGUAAUUGUUUGAGCAAUGGAGUGACACAGAAGGGCAGGCAAGCAUGCGAAUGGAAGAGCAUGUGUAAGCGUGUAGGGUGGUGCAUAGGCAAAUCCGUGCACUGAAAGCCUGAGGCGUGAUGCGGAGUGAGCAGAGAUGCGAGCGAAGUUGUUGACCCCACACUGUCGAGAAAAGCUUCUAGUGAGAGAGCUACCGCCCGUACCGUAAACCGACACAGGUAUGCGGGGAGAGAAUCCUAAGGUGCGCGGGAGAACCCUCGUUAAGGAACUCGGCAAAAUGUACCCGUAACUUCGGGAUAAGGGUAGCCACUGUUGUGAAGUCCCAUGCGGAUGGAGCAUAGAGUGGUCGCAGAGAAGAGGCCCAAGCGACUGUUUACCAUAAACACAGGUGCCUGCUAAAGCGAAAGCUGACGUAUAGGUGCUGACACCUGCCCAGUGCCGGAAGGUUAAGGAAGGAUGUUCGGAUUAGUCCAAAGCAUUCGACUGAAGCCCCGGUGAACGGCGGCCGUAACUAUAACGGUCCUAAGGUAGCGAAAUUCCUUGUCGGGUAAGUUCCGACCCGCACGAAAGGUGUAACGAUUUGGGCACUGUCUCAACGAGGGACCCGGUGAAAUUGAAAUACCUGUGAAGAUGCAGGUUACCCGCGACUGGACAGAAAGACCCCAUGGAGCUUUACUGUAACCUGACAUUGGGUUUUGAUACAUUACGUACAGGAUAGGUGGGAGGCAUGGAAAGCUGGACGCUAGUCUGGCUGGAGCCGACGUUGGGAUACCACCCUUGAUGUAUUGAAAUUCUAACCGCGAGAGUAACGAAAUCCGGGACAGUGUCAGGCG
rnacentral:rRNA from 1 species